rnacentral:rRNA from 1 species
UACGGAGGGUGCAAGCGUUAUCCGGAUUCACUGGGUUUAAAGGGUGCGUAGGUGGCAUGGUAAGUCGGGUGUGAAAUCCCGGGGCUCAACCCCGGAACUGCACUCGAUACUGCCGUGCUCGAGUACUGGAGAGGAGACUGGAAUUUACGGUGUAGCAGUGAAAUGCGUAGAUAUCGUAAGGAAGACCGGUGGCGAAGGCUAGUCUCUGGACAGUUACUGACACUGAGGCACGAAGGCCAGGGGAGCAAACGGG